AUUCUAUGACUCACGAGCUGGGAAGAUGAAUUUGUGUCCUACACCAAGACCUGACCAAAGCUGCACUUGCAGGGGAAAAACAAACAAACAAACAAACAAACAAAAAAAGGGAAGAAGAAGAAAGAAGGAAGCUUGAAAAGGCAGUCACUGAAGUUCAUGCUUUGGAAUGGAAAAAACAAAUACGCAAAGCGGAGCUAUUUUGGCUAUGCACAAACAGAGCACGAACGAUGCACACGAAACGGCGAAGCAAAGCGCUCCGCAACGAAACACGGGCAGCCAAACCCUCGCUGCCCACGCGCAGCAGCGUUAAAACCGCAGCGCCCAGCCGGCACAGCACGAGCGGCGCGCGCCCGCGCCCGGCCCCGCCCCGCGCCUCCCCAUUGGCCCCCAGCUGUGACGUCACCGUGUUGCUGGGUGGAAAAGCGGUGACGCGGCGCGGGCGCGCGAAUGCGCCGAGUGUAGAAUGAAUGGGACAGGGGGCGAAGGGCGCGGGGCCGGAACGUGCAGCCCGAGGAAGCUGGGCUGCGCACGGCAGAGAGGGAGAAGCCGGUGUCAGGUCUGCCCCGCCUCUGCGGGGCGCUCCCGUUGUGCUCCCUGCACAACUGGAUCACACUGUUGUGCUGUACAAAGGCAUCACUCUGCUUAUAAAACAAUUGUUUCCCCGAUUCUGCUGCCCAGCAUCUUCCUGAAUCUGUGUCAAUAUAAAUGCUUCUGCAGCAAGAGCAGCCGGGCAGUUACCCAGAGGAGUGUUUCUUUAAGGCUGAAUUGCAGAAUUCAAGAUUUCUCCUGUCCAGGAAUGUUCCUGGCAUUUUGCUGGUGUUCGAUGAAAGAAGAAACAUGCCAUGCAGACAAGCCUUCAGCGCUGAGCCUGUUUUGCUGGGGAGGAUCCCAUGUGCUGACUGCCUUUGCUCACACGUCUAAUUGCUUCUUGUGGGUACCUUCUGAGAAAACCUUGCUUGCACUGACAACCUGUUUUUUCAGGGUGUAA
rnacentral:lncRNA from 1 species